GUUGGGUCAUAUGUGAUAUGUUCUGUUGUAGAUGAAUUUUUGAACAAUGACGUUUUUUCACCAAUUGCUUAUCUUGGCUCAAUCAUACAGGUUCUUUAAAACAUUUUAUAUUUUAUAUUUUAACUACUAACAAAAUUUUAAUAAGCUUUCAUUUCUUUAAUUAUUUAAACAACCAAAAAAAGUUGUUAUUGUUGGAACUAUUGUAGCAAUCGUUUCUGAUAAGAUGUGGUAUUAUGAUGUGUGUAACCAUUGCAAGUCCAAAGUUGAGCAAAAGUUUGAAACUUAUGAUAAGAAAGAUGGAACAAGUGAUGUUAGAGAUGAGAAGGUGUAUCAAUGUUCGAACAAGGAUUGUCAAGGAAAAGAUGUUUUCCCGUUGUCCAGGUUUAAAAUACCAAUUCGGGUUCAAGAUUCAACCGGUACGGUGACACUUAUAUUGUUUGGUCAUGAGGCGUUGAAGUUUGUUGGGAAAACUGCAAAGGAACUUUUAUAAAUUCAGGACGAGACAAAUGAGGUUCCCAGAGAAUAUCCGAAUAUCCUGUUGAAUUUGAGACGUUGGUUAACCUCAAGUGUGCUUUCGUGAUUAGAGUAACAGACUUUAAUA